GACGUAGGAUGCGAGCGUUGUCCGGAUUCAUUGGGCGUAAAGAGUUCGUAGGCGGUUUGUUAAGUCUGAUGUUAAAGGCUCGGGCCCAACCCGGGUACCGCAUUGGAUACUGGCAGACUGGAGUGCAGUAGAGGCAAGUGGAAUUCCCAGUGUAGCGGUGAAAUGCGUAGAUAUUGGGAAGAACACCGGUGGCGCAGGCGACUUGCUGGGCUGUAACUGACGCUGAGGAACGAAAGCUAGGGGAGCAAAUGGG
rnacentral:rRNA from 1 species